rnacentral:rRNA from 1 species
GCGUGACGCAGCAACGCCGCGUGAGGGAAGACGGCCUUCGGGUUGUAAACCUCUUUCAGGAGGGACGAAGGUUCAGGCGCGAAUAGCGUCCUGGACUGACGGUACCUCCAGAAGAAGCCCCGGCUAACUACGUGCCAGCAGCCGCGGUAAUACGUAGGGGGCUAGCGUUGUCCGGAAUCAUUGGGCGUAAAGCGCGCGUAGGCGGCCCGGUAAGUCCGCUGUGAAAGUCAAAGGCUCAACCUUUGAAUGUCAGCGGAUACUGCCGGGCUAGAGUCCGGAAGAGGCGAGUGGAGCUCCUGGUGUAGCGGUGGAAUGCGCAGAUAUCAGGAAGAACACCAACGGCGAAGGCAGCUCGCUGGGACGGAACUGACGCUAAGGCGCGAAAGCGUGGGGAGCGAACAGGAUUAGAUACCCUGGUAGUCCACGCCGUAAACGAUGGGCACUAGGUGUGGGAGGUGUCGACUCCUCCCGUGCCGGCGCUAACGCAUUAAGUGCCCCGC